rnacentral:misc_RNA from 1 species
UCAAACUUGGUCAUUUAGAGGAAGUAAAAGUCGUAACAAGGUUUCCGUAGGUGAACCUGCGGAAGGAUCAUUAAUGAAUUAAAUAAUGAGGUUGUUGCUGGCCAAUGAAUAUUGGCAUGUGCACAUCUUGUCAAUUCAUCCACAUACCUUUGUGCACCUCUCAUAGAUUGGUUCAUUAACAAGUUGCCUUUUGGUGGCUUUGAGCCUCUCUGUGUUUAUUACAAACAUUUCAGUCUUAGAAUGUAAACUAUGCGAUUUAAUGCAAUGAAAUAUAACUUUCAGCAACGGAUCUCUUGGCACUCGCAUCGAUGAAGAACGCAGC